UACGUAGGGAGCGAGCGUUGUCCGGAUUUAUUGGGCGUAAAGGGCGCGUAGGCGGUUAGGUAAGUCGGGUGUUAAAUCUCCAAGCUCAACUUGGAGCUGCCACUCGAAACUGCUUUGACUUGAGUCUGGUAGGGGAACACGGAAUACCUGGUGUAGCGGUGAAAUGCUUAGAUAUCAGGUGGAACACCAGUGGCGAAGGCGGUGUUCUGGGCCAGUACUGACGCUGAUGCGCGAAAGCGUGGGGAGCGAACAGG
rnacentral:rRNA from 1 species